rnacentral:lncRNA from 1 species
GUUUCACAAAGCUUUAUGCACCCAAAGUAACUGAUGGUUUACUUUCGAUUUAUUUACAGAGUUGUAAAGAUUUUUUGUGAGGGGAAGAAGAAGAAGGAAGAACUGGCCACAAUAUAUAGCUUCGCCUGUGAGAAUUGAACCUUAACUCUUGUCACAGUUGGCCGAUUAAGCAUCACUAUUCCACAUCUGCAUGGAUAACUUUCAGGUUAUACACAGAUAGUGGCUGUAGCUUCCGCACGUGCCGCUCGGUGUCCCAAAGCUUGCAAACUUGAUGCUGCUGAUGACCUGUCCAUCUUUUGGGAAUUCCAGGUGAAGUUCAGGUCCAUAUCUUUGCAUUGUCUGUUGAGAAGAAUUCCAACUAUCAAUUUGGGCUGGAUGUUCCUCUGAUACUUGUGCGUACACACUUCUUGUCUGCCUUAUCACAAAGGAUAUCUUGCUUGGGUCACCACCAAAUUUCUCAAAAAGGACUAUACCAUUGCUGCCUGGUUGAAGAAAUGAACGAGGAACAUGGUACCUGUUUAACAAGGUAAGAAUCCAAUUAAUCAAUAGUCUUCAGUUCCUGCAGUUGCUAUAUUGUUGGGCAAUAUCAGAACACACUGCUAAAGUGCUCAGCGUCACAGUUGCUAUAUUGUUGGGCAAUAUCAGAACACACUCCUGGUUUGUGAUGCAAUUCAAUGGUGUAGGAUGAGAUGGAAUGGGUUCCUUUGGGUUCCAGUCGGUUCUGAGAAAACAAAUUUUUGGGCAUGCUAUUUGAUUAAAUGUCGGAGGCAAGAAGUGCACUCGCAUGCUAUUCAAUGAAAUGUCUCACCUAAACAAAUAUCUGACUUAGUGGAGGUUUUUUUUUCAUUCUGUAUCCACGAAGGUUUCCUAAUUCCUAUUGUCAGUGACAAAGGAGUUCAAUUUUUUUCUUCAAACAAUUCGUCAACAAAUGGUACAGGUUUACAUAGAUAGCAUUUCAGUCUUAAUCAUUUAGAAACUCAGAAAGGAUAUCAUUCCUCUUUUGUCUGUUUUUAAUAUAUGGAGUGAUAACUUCAAUCUACACGUGCGUUUCUUUUGAGUCUAGAGAGUUAUAACAAAACUCAAAAUAAGCUUUUAUAAUAGUUUUAUACCAUUAGAUGAUGCCAAUUUCAGCAAUGCCUAUUUCUACAAUACUUCUCUUCUUUUAUUAGUUGUUGGUGAAAUGCUAGGAUUUCAUAUUUUUUUUGAGACGGAGGGAGUAUUUUUUGUCUAUAACUGUAUGUUAAAUCUAACAAAAGUUUGCCAUCUUUGUGUAGUGCUCGAGCCACUGGAUGCAGUCCACUAUCCUCCAACGAGAUUGACAAACUUGGAUCAAAAAGGUUUGGCAGGCUUAUUAGAAAUCACAAUGGGUGAACAAUGCUUGAGACCAAAUAAAUGCUCAAAGCUUAAAUUAUAUUUAGGGUUCACAAAAGUUUGUACAUUGAUAAUGUGAACGUGGUUGAGAUUUUUUAUACAAAUGGUUUUGUAUUUUUUAUUCUUUUCGUACAUGGUUCUCAAUAUUUAAAUUUAAUUAAAUGCACACAACUGAGAUUUGUUUGAUUGGCC